AACGCUAGCUACAGGCUUAACACAUGCAAGUCGAGGGGAAACGACAUCGAAAGCUUGCUUUUGAUGGGCGUCGACCGGCGCACGGGUGAGUAACGCGUAUCCAACCUGCCCACCACUUGGGGAUAACCUUGCGAAAGUAAGACUAAUACCCAAUGAUAUCUCUAGAAGGCAUCUGAAAGAGAUUAAAGAUUUACCGGUGAUGGAUGGGGAUGCGUCUGAUUAGCUUGUUGGCGGGGUAACGGCCCACCAAGGCAACGAUCAGUAGGGGUUCUGAGAGGAAGGUCCCCCACAUUGGAACUGAGACACGGUCCAAACUCCUACGGGAGGCAGCAGUGAGGAAUAUUGGUCAAUGGACGAGAGUCUGAACCAGCCAAGUAGCGUGCAGGAAGACGGCCCUAUGGGUUGUAAACUGCUUUUAUAAGGGAAUAAAGUGAGAGUCGUGACUCUUUUUGCAUGUACCUUAUGAAUAAGGACCGGCUAAUUCCGUGCCAGCAGCCGCGGUAAUACGGAAGGUCCGGGCGUUAUCCGGGUUUAUUGGGUUUAAAGGGAGCGUAGGCCGGAGAUUAAGCGUGUUGUGAAAUGUAGAUGCUCAACAUCUGCACUGCAGCGCGAACUGGUUUCCUUGAGUACGCACAAAGUGGGCGGAAUUCGUGGUGUAGCGGUGAAAUGCUUAGAUAUCACGAAGAACUCCGAUUG
rnacentral:rRNA from 1 species